rnacentral:lncRNA from 1 species
AGGAGUUUCGGGUUACUAUGGACUGUAAUCCUCUCACUGUGACAGACCCUAUUGAAGAACACAGGAUCUGUGUCUGUGUCAGGAAACGCCCACUGAAUAAACAAGCAAGUGUCUCCUCCUGGUGCAUGAACCCAAGCUGAAAGUGAACUUUAAUGACUGUGCUUCCUCUCCUCCCUGUCAGGAGUGCUGUUUGAUAGUUUCCUGGUACAGCAUCCAGCUGCUGGUAGAGAAGCUUCGAGAUGCAGGCUCUGGCAGAGAAGCAGUGCUUGUCCGGCUCCUGCUGCCUCUGGCUGCCAGCAUCAAUCACCUUUAGUCUGAGCGCUCUCGUGUUUUAUACUUUCAGAAAAAAGGUUUUGAGACCUCUUUGUUUUUGUUUUUGAAGCCUAAGAAAAUCUCUAGUUCUUGCUUUUUAUGUAUUUAUAUGUUGCACCUAACAAUAAAGAAAAAAAAAACAUUUUGUGUG